rnacentral:rRNA from 1 species
AUAGCUCACUGGUCGAGUCGGCCCGCGCGGAAGAUGUAACGGGGCUAAACCAUGCACCGAAGCUGCGGCAGCGACACAUAGUGUUGUUGGGUAGGGGAGCGUUCUGUAAGCCUGCGAAGGUGUACUGUGAGGUAUGCUGGAGGUAUCAGAAGUGCGAAUGCUGACAUAAGUAACGAUAAUGCGGGUGAAAAACCCGCACGCCGGAAGACCAAGGGUUCCUGUCCAACGUUAAUCGGGGCAGGGUGAGUCGACCCCUAAGGCGAGGCUGAAAAGCGUAGUCGAUGGGAAACGGGUUAAUAUUCCCGUACUGGUGGUAACUGCGAUGGGGGAACGGAGAAGGCUAGGUUGUCCGGGCGACGGUCGUCCCGGUUCAAGCAGGUAGGCAGAGUGAUUAGGCAAAUCCGGUCACUUAAUGCUGAGAUGUGAUGACGAACCACCAAGGUGGUGAAGCAAUUGAUGCCCCGCUUCCAGGAAAAGCCUCUAAGCUUCAGGUUACCAACAAUCGUACCCCAAACCGACACAGGUGGUCAGGUAGAGAAUACUCAGGCGCUUGAGAGAACUCGGGUGAAGGAACUAGGCAAAAUGGUGCCGUAACUUCGGGAGAAGGCACGCUGGCGGUAGGUAAAGUCCCUCGCGGACGGCGCCCAAGCCAGUCGAAGAUACCAGCUGGCUGCAACUGUUUAUUAAAAACACAGCACUGUGCAAACACGAAAGUGGACGUAUACG